GGUAGGGCUACACACGUCAUACAAUGGCCGGUACAGAGGGCUGCCAACCCGCGAGGGGGAGCCCAAUACCCAGAAAACCGGUCGUAGUCCGGAUCGUAGUCUGCAACUCGACUGCGUGAAGUCGGAAUCGCUAGUAAUCGCGGAUCAGCUUGCCGCGGUGAAUACGUUCCCGGGCCUU
rnacentral:rRNA from 1 species